rnacentral:rRNA from 1 species
CCUACGGGUGGCAGCAGUGAGGAAUAUUGGUCAAUGGACGCAAGUCUGAACCAGCCAUGCCGCGUGCAGGAAGACGGCUCUAUGAGUUGUAAACUGCUUUUGUACGAGGGUAAACGCAGAUACGCGUAUCUGUCUGCAAGUAUCGUACGAAUAAGGAUCGGCUAACUCCGUGCCAGCAGCCGCGGUAAUACGGAGGAUUCAAGCGUUAUCCGGAUUUAUUGGGUUUAAAGGGUGCGUAGGCGGUCGGAUAAGUUAGAGGUGAAAUCCCGAGGCUCAACUUCGGAAUUGCCUCUGAUACUGUUCGGCUAGAGAGUAGUUGCGGUAGGCGGAAUGUAUGGUGUAGCGGUGAAAUGCUUAGAGAUCAUACAGAAUACCGAUUGCGAAGGCAGCUUACCAAGCUACUUCUGACGUUGAGGCACGAAAGCGUGGGGAGCAAACAGGAUUAGAUACCCCAGUAGUC